ensembl:lncRNA novel transcript, antisense to GNA11
CAGGUCCUUCUUGUUGAGGAAGAGGAUGACGGAGGAGUUCUGGAACCAGGGGGCAGGGCCCACCUCGUUGUCCGACUCCACCAGGACUUGGUCGUAUUCGCUGAGGGCGACGAGAAACAUGAUGGAUGUCACGUUCUCAAAGCAGUGGAUCCACUUCCUCCGCUCCGACCGCUGGCCCCCCACAUCCACCAUCCUGAAAGGACACAGCGCCAGGACUCAGCCACCUGGCGCCCCAAGGCCCAAUCUGCAAUCCCAGGACGGCUCCCACCCAAGCCCCUCCUGCCACACCAGACUGACAUCGGCUGGAGCAGGAAGAGCCCCCACUCUUAGAACGGGCAAGGACGCUCUCAGAGAGCGGCCGCACCGCCUCCAGGGGUGACCACCGCAGACCCUUCCCUCACUGGCAAAGGGGCCUGAGACCACUGGGCCCAGGGAAGCGGGCGCUAGUGUGG